AAUAUGAAAAAAAAAUGAUAGGAAAGCAAGUCUCAAGUUUCCAAUGUUCAAGAAUCCAAACAUAAACAGAAAUUGUCUAAAAAGAUGUUGGGGAUUGAAGAAGAUGAGGGGGAACUAGUUGAUCUUGUAGAUCUAGAUUUUGAGCAUGUGGAUGAAGAGGAUGAUUUUAUUGCACAUAUCUUAGGCAAGUUUAUGACUUAUUUUGAAAGCAGUUUUUUUAAGGAUGGGAUC
rnacentral:lncRNA from 1 species